AUUAAGCCAUGCAUGUCUAAGUAUAAGCAAUUAUACGGCGAAACUGCGAAUGGCUCAUUAUAUAAGUUAUCGUUUAUUUGAUAGCACCUUACUACUUGGAUAACCGUGGUAAUUCUAGAGCUAAUACAUGCUAAAAAUCCCGACUUCGGAAGGGAUGUAUUUAUUAGAUUAAAAACCAAUGCCCUCUGGGCUCUCUGGUGAUUCAUGAUAACUUCUCGAAUCGCAUGGCCUUGCGCCGGCGAUGGUUCAUUCAAAUUUCUUCCCUAUCAACUUUCGAUGUUUGGGUAGUGGCCAAACAUGGUUGCAACGGGUAACGGAGGGUUAGGGCUCGACCCCGGAGAAGGAGCCUGAGAAACGGCUACUACAUCCAAGGAAGGCAGCAGGCGCGCAAAUUACCCAAUCCCGACACGGGGAGGUAGUGACAAUAAAUACUGAUACAGGGCUCUUUUGGGUCUUGUAAUUGGAAUGAGUACAAUUUAAAUCCCUUAACGAGGAACAAUUGGAGGGCAAGUCUGGUGCCAGCAGCCGCGGUAAUUCCAGCUCCAAUAGCGUAUAUUAAAGUUGUUGUGGUUAAAAAGCUCGUAGUUGAACCUUGGGCCUGG
rnacentral:rRNA from 1 species